rnacentral:rRNA from 1 species
GAUGAACGCUGGCGGCGUGCCUAAUACAUGCAAGUCGAGCGAACGGACGAGAAGCUUGCUUCUCUGAUGUUAGCGGCGGACGGGUGAGUAACACGUGGAUAACCUACCUAUAAGACUGGGAUAACUUCGGGAAACCGGAGCUAAUACCGGAUAAUAUUUUGAACCGCAUGGUUCAAAAGUGAAAGACGGUCUUGCUGUCACUUAUAGAUGGAUCCGCGCUGCAUUAGCUAGUUGGUAAGGUAACGGCUUACCAAGGCAACGAUGCAUAGCCGACCUGAGAGGGUGAUCGGACACACUGGAACUGAGACACGGUCCAGACUCCUACGGGAGGCAGCAGUAGGGAAUCUUCCGCAAUGGGCGAAAGCCUGACGGAGCAACGCCGCGUGAGCGAUGAAGGUCUUCGGAUCGUAAAACUCUGUUAUUAGGGAAGAACAUAUGUGUAAGUAACUGUGCACAUCUUGACGGUACCUAAUCAGAAAGCCACGGCUAACUACGUG